CUAAGAAUCUUGCGCAAUGGGCGAAAGCCUGACGCAGCAAUUCCGCGUGGGGGACGAAGGCCCUCGGGUCGUAAACCCCUUUUGUGAGGGAAGAAGUUCUGACGGUACCUCACGAAUAAGACACGGCUAACUACGUGCCAGCAGCCGCGGUAAUACGUAGGUGUCGAGCGUUGUCCGGAUUUAUUGGGCGUAAAGAGCCCGCAGGCGGCUUGGUAAGUUCGAGGUGAAAUCUCCCGGCUCAACUGGGAGGGUGCCUCGAAAACUAUCAGACUUUAGGCAGGGAGAGGGAUGUGGAAUUCCCGGUGUAGUGGUGAAAUGCGUAGAUAUCGGGAGGAACACCAGUGGCGAAGGCGGCAUCCUGGCCCUGUCCUGACGCUCAGGGGCGAAAGCGUGGGGAGCAAACC
rnacentral:rRNA from 1 species